AUGAGAACCACAUCAGAGGAGCAAAACAUAAGAUUGUGGGGUCUUCUCCUUUGCCUGGUGACAAGUUUCCUUGUCCCAGGUGUCCUGUCUCAGGUGGAGCUGGUGGAGCUGCAGGAGUUGGGCCCAGGACUGGUGAAGCCCUCGCGGACCCUGUCCCUCACCUGCACAGUCUCUGGUGACUCCAUCACCAGUGGUUAUGAUUGGAAAUGGAUCCACAAGCACUCAGGGAAGGGGUGUGAGUUAAUGGGAUACAUUAGUUCUGCUGACAGCACAAGUUAUGUCCCAUCCCUCAAGAGCCUCAUCUCCAUCAUCAGAGAUAUGUCCAAGCUGCAUUUCUCCCUGCAGCUGAGCUCUGUGACCUCCAAGGACAUGACUACAUAUUACUGUGCGAGGGACAGUGAGGGGAAGUCGGUGUGA